GCGGAUGUGGCGGAAUUGGCAGACGCGCUGGAUUUAGGUUCCAGUGGAGUAAUCCGUGCAGGUUCGAUUCCUGUCAUCCGUA
rnacentral:tRNA from 4 species